AUUGAACGCUGGCGGCAUGCUUUACACAUGCAAGUCGGACGGCAGCACAGAGAAGCUUGCUUCUUGGGCGGCGAGUGGCGAACGGGUGAGUAAUAUAUCGGAACGUACCGAGUAAUGGGGGAUAACUAAUCGAAAGAUUAGCUAAUACCGCAUAUUCUCUGAGGAGGAAAGCAGGGGACCUUCGGGCCUUGCGUUAUUCGAGCGGCCGAUAUCUGAUUAGCUAGUUGGUGGGGUAAAGGCCUACCAAGGCGACGAUCAGUAGCGGGUCUGAGAGGAUGAUCCGCCACACUGGGACUGAGACACGGCCCAGACUCCUACGGGAGGCAGCAGUGGGGAAUUUUGGACAAUGGGCGCAAGCCUGAUCCAGCCAUGCCGCGUGUCUGAAGAAGGCCUUCGGGUUGUAAAGGACUUUUGUCAGGGAAGAAAAGGCUGUUGCUAAUAUCGACAGCUGAUGACGGUACCUGAAGAAUAAGCACCGGCUAACUACGUGCCAGCAGCCGCGGUAAUACGUAGGGUGCGAGCGUUAAUCGGAAUUACUGGGCGUAAAGCGAGCGCAGACGGUUACUUAAGCAGGAUGUGAAAUCCCCGGGCUCAACCUGGGAACUGCGUUCUGAACUGGGUGACUAGAGUGUGUCAGAGGGAGGUAGAAUUCCACGUGUAGCAGUGAAAUGCGUAGAGAUGUGGAGGAAUACCGAUGGCGAAGGCAGCCUCCUGGGAUAACACUGACGUUCAUGCUCGAAAGCGUGGGUAGCAAACAGG
rnacentral:rRNA from 1 species